AACGAACGCUGGCGGCAGGCCUAACACAUGCAAGUCGAGCGCACCUUCGGGUGAGCGGCGGACGGGUUAGUAACGCGUGGGAACGUGCCCAGAUCUAAGGAAUAGCCACUGGAAACGGUGAGUAAUACCUUAUACGCCCUUCGGGGAAAGAUUUAUCGGAUUUGGAUUCGGCCCGCGUUAGAUUAGAUAGUUGGUGGGUAACGGCCUACCAAGUCUACGAUCUAUAGCUGGUUUUAGAGGAUGAUCAGCAACACUGGGACUGAGACACGGCCCAGACUCCUACGGGAGGCAGCAGUGGGGAAUCUUGGACAAUGGGGGCAACCCUGAUCCAGCCAUGCCGCGUGAGUGGAUGAAGGCCUUAGGGCGUAAAGCUCUUUCGCCAGGGAUGAUAAUGACAGUACCUGGUAAAA
rnacentral:rRNA from 1 species